rnacentral:rRNA from 1 species
UUUGAGUCACNGUUNUUGGGAUUCGAUUAAGCCUGCGAGUCGAGAGGGUUCGGCCCUCGGCGGACUGCUCAGUAACACGUGGAUAAUCUGACCUUANGUGGAGGAUAACCUCGGGAAACUGAGAAUAAUACUCCAUAGGUUUAGGAUGCUGGAAAGCGCCUAAACUCAAAGAUUUAUCGCCUAAGGAUGAGUCUGCGGACUAUCAGGUUGUAGUUAGGGUAAUGUCCUGACUAGCCUACAACGGAUACGGGUUGUGAGAGCAAUAACCCGGAGAUGAUAUCUGAGACACGAUAUCGGGCCCUACGGGGUGCAGCAGGCGCGAAACCUUCACACUGUGCGAAAGCGCGAUGAGGGGAUCCCAAGUGCUUGCUCUUAGGAGUAAGCUGUUUUCCUGUUUAAAUCGCAGGAAGAGGAAGGGCUGGGUAAGACGGGUGCCAGCCGCCGCGGUAAUACCUGCAGCUCAAGUGGUGACCGCUAUUAUUGGGCCUAAAACGUCCGUAGCCCGGCUGAGUAAAUGCCUGGGUAAAUCGUGUCGCUUAACCGAUACGAAUUCCGGGUAGACUACUUAACUUGAGACUGGGAGAAGCUAGAGGUACUCCUGGGGUAGAAGUGAAAUUCUGUAAUCCUGGGGGGACCACCAGUGGCCAAAGCGUCUANCUAGAACGGUCUGACGG